AACGAACGCUGGCGGCAGGCUUAACACAUGCAAGUCGAGCGCCCCGCAAGGGGAGCGGCAGACGGGUGAGUAACGCGUGGGAAUCUACCCAUCUCUACGGAAUAACGCAUGGAAACGUGUGCUAAUACCGUAUACGUCCUUCGGGAGAAAGUUUUAUCGGAGAUGGAUGAGCCCGCGUUGGAUUAGCUAGUUGGUGGGGUAAAGGCCUACCAAGGCGACGAUCCAUAGCUGGUCUGAGAGGAUGAUCAGCCACACUGGGACUGAGACACGGCCCAGACUCCUACGGGAGGCAGCAGUGGGGAAUAUUGGACAAUGGGCGCAAGCCUGAUCCAGCCAUGCCGCGUGAGUGAUGAAGGCCCUAGGGUUAUAAAGCUCUUUCACCGGUGAAGAUAAUGACGGUAACCGGAGAAGAAGCCCCGGCUAACUUCGUGCCAGCAGCCGCCGUAACAC
rnacentral:rRNA from 1 species